AACCUGUCAGGCUUUCCCAGACCUGUUGCUCCCCCUUGGCAGGGCGAGGCCGCGCGGCCCACUCAAGACUUUCUUUGAUCCUUUUGCAGUCCAGGCUCUGGGCGGGCAUUGCGACUGCAUCUUACAGGAAAAGGCGGGCCGGACGCCCGGAAGAGGUGGGGGCACUGAGGACUCUCCGCCGCGGCGCUAGGGACCCAUCACCAAGUGCGACGGGGCGCCUCCGCCCUCUGGGGUCCUGGUCAGGUCUCAGCUAAGAGCAGACUACUCGAACCUGCUUUGUUUUCACUAGUCUCUCGGAUUUACCAUCUCACAACUGAACAUGGC
ensembl:lncRNA